GAGGAGUUAGUUAAAAUAUAACAUUGUUUUGUCAAGACAAAAUUACUAGCUAAUAUCUUGUACCCCUCC
rnacentral:tRNA from 3 species